GAUGAACGCUAGCUACAGGCUUAACACAUGCAAGUCGAGGGACCGGCGCACGGGGGAGUAACACGAAUACAACCUUCCCUUUACUAGGGGAUAGCCUUUCGAAAUAAAGACUACUACCCGAUAUAAAGGAUGGGGAUGCGUUCCAUUAGGUUGGUGGUGAGGUAAAGGCCCACCAAGCCUUCGAUGGAUAGGGGUUCGGAGAGCAAGGACCCCCACAUUUGAACUACGACACAGUCCACACUCCUACGGGAGGCAGCAGUGAGGAAUAUUGGUCAAUGAGCGUUAGCCUGAACCAGCCAAGUAGAGUGAAGGAUGAAGGCUUAUGAGUCGUAAACUUCUUUUAUAUAAGAAUAUGUAUUAUAUGAAUAAGGAUCGGCUAACUCCGUGCCAGCAGCCGCGGUAAUAC
rnacentral:rRNA from 1 species